rnacentral:lncRNA from 1 species
GAGCUGCGAGCUGUGCUGCCGCCGCCGCUGCCCUUUGAUCCCGACAUUAGUGUUAGGGGCUCGGAGACACAGCGCGCGGCCAUAGACACCGCCGCACCGGCGCUCAUUUAUUUAUACCUCCCAUCACACGCGAGCACAGGACACACACACACUCACACCUAUUAGAUCCGUUUCCAUUGAAGAAUAUUACGCUCGGGGACAAGCCAGGUGCACGACCAAAAAAUUAAAAAAAAAAAAAAAAAAGG